rnacentral:rRNA from 1 species
UACGGGGGUGGCAAGCGUUGUUCGGAAUUACUGGGCGUAAAGGGUUUGUAGGUGGCCAACUAAGUCAGACGUGAAAUCCCUCAGCUUAACUGGGGAACUGCGUCUGAGACUGGAUGGCUUGAGUGCAGGAGAGGAACGCGGAAUUCCAGGUGUAGCGGUGAAAUGCGUAGAUAUCUGGAGGAACACCGGUGGCGAAGGCGGCGUUCUGGACUGCAACUGACACUGAAAAACGAAAGCCAGGGGAGCAAACGGG